rnacentral:rRNA from 1 species
AUUGAACGCUGGCGGCAGGCCUAACACAUGCAAGUCGAACGAGUGGCGGACGGGUGAGUAAUGUCUGGGAAACUUCCCGAUGGAGGGGGAUAACUACUGGAAACGGUAGCUCAUACCGCAUACCAUCGGAUGUGCCCAGAUGGGAUUAGCUCGGAGGUGGGGUAACGGCUCACCUAGGCGACGAUCCCUAGCUGGUCUGAAAGGAUGACCAGCCACACGGGGACUGAGACCCGGUCCAGACUCAUACGGGAGGCAGCAGUGGGGAAUAUUGCACAAUGGGCGCAAGCCUGAUGAAGCCAUGCCGCGUGUAGGAAGAAGGCCUUCGGGUUGUAAAGUACUUUCAGCGAGGAGGCGUUACUCGCAGAAGAAGCACCGGCUAACUCCGUGCCAGCAGCCGCGGUAAUUC